UUGGCUUGUUCAACCUCUCACUCUCGCUCUCGCUCACCCCGUAUGAAUCUCUCUAUCCCUCUUGAUCUCAAUCGAUUGAUCUCUCAAUCUCUCUAUCUCAAUCUCAAUCUCUAUACCUCUCUCGAUCUCUCAAUCUCUCUUUGUAUCUGCGUACACAUUAUCUAUUCUCUCUCUGCAAUUUGAGCGAUUCGUCACAGAAAAACCCUAACUCUGCCAUGGCAAAGUUCUCUCGGAGCAUUCAAAUGCAGCAGAGUAAGCUCACAUCUCAUGCGUUUCAUCUACCUCAAAAUUCACCUACAUUACGCGCUCACACACACAAAGACUACCUUUGAGCUUCAUUGUGUACAUAGUGUCCUAUCAAUGCAUAAUUACAUGAAUGCUUAUAUACGUAUGUAUAUGUAUUUAGCAUCGCAAUGCAGAUCUGUUCUCGGUUCUGUUUUUGCUUCUUCUUUUUUUUUUUUUUAACCUCUGUUUUGGUUCUUUGAUCCAUAAAUUGCUUGAUUUGUUCUAAUUUUUGUUCUUUUUUCGAUGUUUUUCGCGUUUAUUGGUUGGUUAAUUGGUUUGAGAAAAUCAUCAUAAAACUUUGUGGCUAUUUCUAGUGGUGAUGCCUCUGAGGCCUUUGUACAAGCAUUACAAGAGAAGGUUUUUCAUUGACAUUCUCAUCUCAUUAGAAACAAUAUUCAAAAUGUAGCUCUUUAAUUUUUAUGAGUAAUGGGCCUUACAGCUAAUCUUUGUCACAGUUUGUUGUUUAAAACCGUCCAUGGACCAAAAAACACACAAUUGGAAUAGGUUGUCUGCCACGGCUGCUGAACAGAUUGUAUUGACAGAGUGAUCCAUUCUACAGGUGUCAGAUGAGUGGGGCCAAAACUCAUGGUGGAAGCCUUCCAUGAACCAAAGAAUAGAAAAAAGAGUUCAAGAGGGUCCAAGUUGGUGCUCUUUGCUUUUAUGAUUUGGUCGGCUAGCCUCUCUAUCAAAUUUCUUGAAUUGGCCGGAAAAAUUAAUGGUAACUGAUAAUAUUUAUUCUAUUUAUAACAUUGAAAUGUUUUAUUCCCAUCAUUUUCCUUUAUUAUCUUUUUAGUGUUCAGCUAAUAAUCUCUCUCCAAUUGCUUCGUUAUUACGAAGCAAAUCAUAUGUUUAAUUUAUUCCUUGUUGCACUUUAAAAUGUUACUAAUUAAUUUUAUAAAGUAUAGCAAUCAAAAGUGGAAGCCACAAUAUUUGAAAAUGACAUACAAAUGUUACAGAACACCCUCAAGAUUUGUACAUCCUGUGCAAUAUCAAGUGCAGUGGUCUGAGCUUUCAUGAAUCAAUCCUAGAGGAGUGUAUGAACAAGUUUUUAUAUUGUCAAGUAACCAUCAUUCCCUGACUAACAUAGGCAAAAAUGCUCAAGAACAUGUUUGGAGCAAUGCACAGAUAACUUGUUUUUUGGAUUGAUGUUGCUGCUGUAUUGUUUUUGG